CACCGCGGUUAUACGAGAGACCCCAGUUGAUAAAUACCGGCGUAAAGGGUGGUUAAGGAGAGCAAAGAUAUAGCCGAAGGGCCUCUUAGCCGUCAUACGCUUAUUGAGUGUCCGAAGCCCGAAAACGAAAGUAGCUUUAAUAUAGCCCACCUGACCCCACGAAAACUGAGAAA
rnacentral:rRNA from 1 species